AUGAUGGCACUACUACACUCCAGCCUGGGCAAGAGAAUGAGACUCUAUCUUAAAAAAAAAAAAGACACAAAUGAGGGGCUUGAGGUUCCAGAAGUGAGGUAAACUGACAAGCUAGCUAUCAGCAGUGUUGGGCCUUGAACUUCAGUUUAAGACCCUAAUAGUGUGCACUGUUGGGGUGUCUGCCUCCCCAUACACAAACUAAGAAUCAUUUUCUGCCACACCCACCCACAAUACAGUUGUAUUAUGUUUCUCUAUGAAAGAGGCAAUGCUAUCUGCUCACCAAUCUUGUUUCUUUCUCCUGCUAGGCACACACAGCUGAAUUAUAUUUCGCAAUCUAAACUGUCACUAAUGGCAUGUAGACAGAGGUCAUGUGUGUCUCUUCCAAACCAGACCCCUAAAAAUUGUCCAUGUUCUUGUUAUUUCUCAUCAAUGGACCAGAUAAGGUCAUAGUGGAGGAUUUGGAGACCCCCUGUGAUGACAGAGCCAUAACAAGGAAGGAGCCUGGGUCCCUACAAUAAGUGGAAGAGGAUGGAGCAGAGCCCCCACCCCUACCUAUCUACACUUGGGAGCAUAAUCACCAAGAAUGCUACUGUGGCUUCCUCCUCUGAAAACACCACUCACCUUCAAAUCUCUGAGUAAGAUCUUGCUCAAUCUCAUCGAAUCCUGCUGCUCGGACAUUGCUGAAGAAGUCUUUCAAGUAAUCCAGAGCAUCUUUCAUUCGUGCAUGCUCACUGAUAAUGAGGGCAUCAUUAUAUUUCUGUUGAAAGUAAAAACUGUCUCAAUAUGCUUCCAAUGUCUAACACAUUCACUGUAUUUAAGUUCAAUUCGUUGUAUUUAACGAAUUGUUUUAAGAAAACUUUUCUUUUCAAAUCUAUUCCAACUUAGCUUUUUAAAGAUGAAUGGCCUCUAACAGUUAUGUAACAAAAUCUUUGAACCAAAUACUGUUAAAAGAAAACUCAAUUAGCUAGUAACAUUAAUUAUCAUCACUUUGGAUUAUUGAAUUUUACCUUAGAAAAGAAAAACUGCACGAAAAACACAUAUCAAAAUUUAAAAAUAAGGAAAGUAAAUCAACUUCCACAUCAACCUGCCUCAUAAUUCCAACAUUUCACUUGAUUUCUAUAUACAUCUGAAGCCAUCACUAAAUUGUCAGUGUACCUUCCAAAAUGAUGGCCCUGACCACAUCCAUCAAAUGUACAACUAAGCUAACUAAAAUUCUACAAAUGCAUGCUAAUUGAAUGCAUUUUAAUAUAUUUUCAAUGGCUGGAUAAGCAGAGGUGAUAGCUGUCACUAUAGUUCCUUAACUUCUUGGUGAGCCAGAGAACCUGGAUUUCUGAGCAUGGGGCGUCACCAAAGGUGAAGAAAUGUGUGCUUCAGGACAUAGCAACAGAACUUUCCACUUGCUGAGCUUUCAAGAUGCUGUCACUGGACUGGUCUUGUAUCUGGAAUAAUGUUCUCUCACAAUCACCCAAUUUUUUCCAACCAUGUCAGUUAAUGCUAGAGGCAUGGCAUAGAAUCUGAGCCUUUAUUUCAGUCCUGUUGCCUGCAGUAUGAAAUUUCAGAAAGGAAAUCGAGAUGAUGUUGAAUGGGACAACUUUUGGAGUUUGCUUCAUAAGAACUUUCUGGAAAGGUUCCUAAGUGAGCUCUUGAGGACAGGAUGAGAAGUUGAUGUUAUCUUGGCUUCCACGGUGCCACUCCCAGUAGGUGCUGUGACCAGAAUACGACUCUUAAAAAGAGGAACGUACCCGCAAAUGUGAAGUGUAUAAAAACAGGGCUUUACAAAUCCUGCUCUCUUCAUCUUUGUCUGGCAUCUGGAACACCAUGCAUGCUUUCUGAACUGUAACAAUCCAUUGUUCAUAUUUCUGUGUUCCAAAUUCCCUAUUUUGAAUUUGAGAUAAGUUUUCUGUUAAAAAAAAAAAAAAAAGUUUUUCACUGUCUCAUAUGGUCAGUCAUUUAGGGUUAUAAACAGGCCUCACCCUCUAAUUUUCUUUUUCUUUUUUUUUUUCCUCGAGGCAGAGUCUCGCUCUGAUGCCCAGGCUGUAGUACAAUGGCACGAUCUUGGCUCACCGCAACCUCCACCUCCCGGAUUCAAGCGAUUCUCCUGCCUCAGCCUGCUAAGUAGCUGAGACUACAGGCGUGUGCCAUCACGCCUGGCUAAUUUUUGUAUUUUUAGUAGAGACAGGGUUUCACCAUGUUGUCAAGCUGGUUUCAAACUCCUGACCUCAGGUGAUCCGCCUGCCUCGGUCUCCCAAAGUGCUGGGAUUACAGGCGUGAGCCACUGCACCUGGCCUAAUUUUCUUUCUUACUCUCUGCAAACAGGAUAUUCCUCCUGAAAUAGUCUUAAGUCAUCUAGUUAAAACUAUUUAACUGGAUUCAGACUGGUGAAAAGGUGGAAGCAGGGUACCUGAGGUGGGAGGAGUAAGAAAAUAGAAACUCAUGUGACUCCAUCACCAUCUCUCCAUCCUUCUGCUCCUUCCCCCAUUGAGAUAACACCACUGUGCUGCUGGAUAAUAUGACAACCUCCAAACUGUUCUCCCUACCUCUUGCCUUGUUCCCUCCCUUGAGUUUUAAGCAGUGCAUCUGUGUGUUUGUUUGUGUGUGUGUGUGUGUGUGUGUGUGUGUUUGAUUGUUUCUUGAGUACUGUGUACCAAGAAUCAAAGUACCUUACAUUCAUAAUUUCAUUUAAUUUUCACAACCCAUGAGAUACAUAUUACAUUUCAUAUAUUGGGAAACUGAAGUUCAGAAAAGCCAAGUAAUAAGUAAUUUACCCAUAGUCACACAGCAAGUACGUGGAGAAAGGGCAGGAAUUCAAACCCACAUGUGUCAGAUGCCCAAGCUCUACUGGCUCUAUGAGCUGACAACCAAAGCAGCCCAGAAAUAAAACAGUAGACAUGAAAAACCCAACUUUGCCUUUAAAAAUGAAGAAGUAAAAAUAACAGGUCUCAAGAGCUUCAUCAGAGGAGGAUAUAUAAAAGCAGGAGAUUGGCCGGCCGCAGUGGCUCAUGCCUGUAAUCCCAGCACUUUGGGAGCCCCAGGCGGGUGGAUCACGAGGUCAAGAGAUUGAGAUCACCCUGGCCAACAGGGUGAAACCCCGUUUCUACUAAAAAUACAAAAAUUAGCUGGGGGUGGUGGCACGCACCUGAAGUCCCAGCUACUUAGGAGACUGAGGCAGGAGAAUCGCUUGAACCCAGGAGACGGAGGUUGCAGUGAACCGAGAUCACGUCACUGUACUCCAGCCUGGCGACAGAGUGAGACUCUUAAAAAAAAAAAAAAUCAAGGAGGAGAUUUAGGACUCAGUUCACCCUAUGUUCUGCUUUGCUGUGAACUUGGGCCUCCUGUUCUCCAGAGCAGCAUUCUCAGGGCCAAGCAUAGAAUCGGCCCUCAAAAGACACUUAUCACACAUGCAUCUGUCUGUGUGCAUCUCCUAGGAUAAGCCUCAGUUGCUUGGUUCAAAGCUGGGGCAUCUGCUGUGGUCCAGGCUCUGUGUAGGGUGCUGGGGAUAAGAUGAGGAGACUAUGGCUGUGUUCUCAAGCAGCUGAGUCUGUGAGUUACUCUGGUAUCAGUUCGCCAGGGCUCCUCAUGAAGAGCACAGUACAACAAAAGUCACAAGCAAGAGCUGUAUUUCUGGGUUAAAUUCUUCCCCUCACUCAUUCAUUUUCAAUAAUAGGAACAAAGGAGGCUACCCAAACAAGUAGUAUUGACAUGCUUCUUUCCAAGUUGCAGCUACAGCGAGGUGGCCAGCAGUAAAGAAGAUGAGCCAACAGGUACUGAUUGAACCUGGGUAGGUGUAAAAAUAGCCUAAGCAGUUUAGAGAUGAGCAGCUAACUGGAUUCGGACUGGCAAAAAGGUGGAGGCAGGGUACGGGAGGUGGGAGGAGUAAGAAAAUAGAAACUCACGUGACUCCAUCACCGUCUCUCCAUCCUUCUGCUACUUCCCCAAUUCAAACCACAUCAGUGUGCUGCUGGAUAAUAUGACAAUCUCCAAACUGGUCUCCCUUCCUCUUGCCUUGUUCCCUCUAACCCAUACUCUACCCAGUGGUUAGAGGGAGUUUGCAAAAUUGCAGAUGAGAAAUCAUCCCACCCCACUGCUUAAAAGCCUUUAGUGGUCCUGCAGCCAAAAUCCUGCCCCAGCUCACACACUCCUCCCCAUGCUCUGGCCUCUGCUUGCUUUUGCUUCUCAUUUCUGGCCACUCUCCUUUCAGCAUUCUACAGGACUAAUGGAAGUCCCUAUACUCUUUCUAGUCUCCUGGCCUUUGCAUAUGCUAUUCCCUGUGCCUGAAACACACCUUAUCACCCCCACCACACCAGCUGCUUUAGUAUUAGUAUUACUUCUCUAAUUUUGGUCUUACCAUCAGACUAGAAAUGCCCUGAGGCCAGGGGCUGUAUCUUAGGGUUCAUGCUGUAUUCCCAUCACCUAGCCCAUUCCUUAGCACUAAAUGAAUGAACAUAUGCAUGAACACAUUCGGGAAACUGCUAAAUCAAAAGGAUUCAGGUAGGGAAGUAGUAGAAUAUAACAUUGGAAAGAUAAGUAGAACCUGGGUGUUCAGGCAGGGCUCAGACUGCAGGUUAGAGGCGUGAAGAUUAUCCUGUAGGCAAAGGGUUUUUAAGCAGGACAGGGACAUGAUAAAAUGUAUUCAUGAAGACUAACUAGUUCAUGAGAGGUUGAAUGGAAGAGAGAGCAGAGGUAGGCAAAAUCAGCUAGAAGGCUGUUAGAACAAUUAUAAUAGAAAUUAAACUGUGAAAGAAAAGGGGAGAGAAAAGCAAAAUAAGUGUGAGAGGAGACACUCCAUGAGGUGUCUUACAGACGUCACAUUUAACAUCCCUAAAACUCAAAACUCAAAACCUUGUACCUGCCAAGGCUGCUUCUAGUCCUGGUACCAGGACCACCCACUGGCAUUCAUAGAGGUGCCUAAGCCAGAUGCCUGGGGGGAAAUCAGCCCCUCCUGCCCCUUUCUCAUCCCCACCCAAAUCCGUUUAGCCAUUCAAUCAUAACACUCACAGUUGGAAGCAUCUCACAUGUGUCUCCUUCCUUCUCCAAUCCAUCUCUACUGCCUCUCUUUGGUCCUUCUCAUUCACUGGUAUCUUUAUUACGUCACUAAUCAGUUUUAAUCUUCACUUUUUUCCCCAUUGUUUUUAGGAUAAAAUUCAAAUCCAGGCCCUUCACUGUCUUCCCCUGGCCCAUCUCUAGUCGCACUCCUUUAAUGCUGGGAAAUGUGCUGGGUGAUUGUCCCUAGAUAUAAAUCUGAGCCAGUAGAGGAAUGGUGGUUUCAUUCAGGUGAACAGGAAAGUCAGGAGGGAAAGCUGAUUUAGAAGGUAGAGAAAGCAAUGAACUGACUUAAGUAUGGUUAUUUUUCAGGUGCAUGUGUCUGGAUGAACUUACUUUGGAUUUAAAAGGAAAAAAAGGAAGAAAGAAAGAAUAGAGGAGGACAUAUAAGGCUCCUAAAUAACCUAUAAUCAAGGAAGACAACCUCUGGAUAUGGUCUUGACAUUGUCUGAACUAAGGAGAACACAAAAAGACGAUAGUGAACAAUAAAUGGCUAUUCCCCAGUA